CCUACGGGAGGCUGCAGUGGGGGAUAUUGCACAAUGGGGGGAACCCUGAUGCAGCGACGCCGCGUGGGUGAAGAAGCGCCUCGGCGCGUAAAGCCCUGUCAGCAGGGAAGAAAAUGACGGUACCUAAAGACGAAGCCCCGGCUAACUACGUGCCAGCCGCCGCGGUAAUACGUAGGGGGCAAGCGUAAUCCGGAUUUACUGGGUGUAAGGGGGGCGCAGACGGGGUUGCAAGCCAGGCGUGAAAGCCCGGGGCCCAACCCCGGGACUGCUCGUGGAACUGCGUGGCUGGAGUGCAGGAGGGGCAGGCGGAAUUCCUGGUGUAGCGGUGAAAUGCGUAGAUAUCAGGAGGAACACCGGUGGCGAAGGCGGCCUGCUGGACUGCAACUGACGUUGAGGCCCGAAAGCGUGGGGAGCAAACAGGAUUAGAUACCCGGGUAGUC
rnacentral:rRNA from 1 species